UACGGAGGGUGCGAGCGUUGUCCGGAAUCAUUGGGCGUAAAGGGCGCGUAGGUGGUUUUGUGUGUCUACCGUGAAAGCAUACAGCUCAACUGUAUUUUGUCGGUAGAAACUGCAGGACUUGAGGCUGGGAGGGGCUGGUGGAAUUCCCUGUGUAGCGGUGAAAUGCGUAGAGAUGGGGGAGAACACUCGUGGCGAAGGCGGCCAGCUAGACCAGUUCUGACACUGAGGCGCGACAGCGUGGGGAGCAAACAGG
rnacentral:rRNA from 1 species